UAGGGUUCGACCGGGCAACAGCUGACACCACUGCGAAUGCGGUCACUGCCUUGUGGAUUCUGUGGAUUUAUGAUAUUCGCCUCUGUCCGAGCCAGCAGAAAUGCCAAGCGCGCUGUCGUCGCGCGGAACAAAUGUUCCCCUGGUGAGUCGCGCCUAUUUGGUGCUGCUGCAAGCCUUCAAUACGUAGUAAUUUAAACUAUGCCACAAACUUGCUGCGCCCAUUCCCAGAUCAUGGUGAGCCACAAUCGAGGCGCCACGCGCGGCGUGUCAGAACUCAGAAGCCUCUCAGGCUGGUGGGCCAGGUGUGCGGCGGGGACCUACGGGGACUGUUCAGGUCGUCUAGAUGGUCGCCACGCGGCUGCUCGUAGAAGGCUAAGUGCUGAGGUCCGGGUUUGCGGGCAAGGCAUGGCACUG
rnacentral:lncRNA from 1 species